UACGUAGGGGGCAAGCGUUGUCCGGAAUCAUUGGGCGUAAAGGGCGCGUAGGCGGUUCGUACAGUCAGACGUGAAAUUCCUGGGCUCAACCUGGGGGCUGCGUUUGAUACGUGCGGGCUUGAGUGCGGAAGAGGGUCGUGGAAUUCCCAGUGUAGAGGUGAAAUUCGUAGAUAUUGGGAAGAACACCGGUGGCGAAGGCGGCGACCUGGUCCGAUACUGACGCUGAGGCGCGAAAGCGUGGGGAGCAAACAGG
rnacentral:rRNA from 1 species